rnacentral:rRNA from 1 species
GUGGGGAAUCUUAGACAAUGGGCGCAAGCCUGAUCUAGCCAUGCCGCGUGAGCGAUGAAGGCCUUAGGGUUGUAAAGCUCUUUCGUGGGGGAAGAUAAUGACUGUACCCCAAGAAGAAGCCCCGGCUAACUCCGUGCCAGCAGCCGCGGUAAUACGGAUGGGGCUAGCGUUGUUCGGAAUUACUGGGCGUAAAGCGCACGUAGGCGGACUGGAAAGUCAGGGGUGAAAUCCCGGGGCUCAACCUCGGAACUGACUUUGAAACUCCCAGUCUUGAGUUCGAGAGAGGUGAGUGGAAUUCCGAGUGUAGAGGUGAAAUUCGUAGAUAUUCGGAGGAACACCAGUGGCGAAGGCGGCUCACUGGCUCGAUACUGACGCUGAGGUGCGAAAGCGUGGGGAGCAAACAGGAUUAGAUACCCGGGUAGUCC